rnacentral:rRNA from 1 species
GUGGGGAAUUUUGGACAAUGGGCGCAAGCCUGAUCCAGCAAUGCCGCGUGCAGGAAGAAGGCCUUCGGGUUGUAAACUGCUUUUGUACGGAACGAAACGGUCCGGGUUAAUACCCUGGGCUAUGACGGUACCGUAAGAAUAAGCACCGGCUAACUACGUGCCAGCAGCCGCGGUAAUACGUAGGGUGCAAGCGUUAAUCGGAAUUACUGGGCGUAAAGCGUGCGCAGGCGGUGCUGUAAGACAGGCGUGAAAUCCCCGGGCUCAACCUGGGAAUUGCGCUUGUGACUGCAAGGCUGGAGUGCGGCAGAGGGGGAUGGAAUUCCGCGUGUAGCAGUGAAAUGCGUAGAUAUGCGGAGGAACACCGAUGGCGAAGGCAAUCCCCUGGGCCUGCACUGACGCUCAUGCACGAAAGCGUGGGGAGCAAACAGGAUUAGAAACCCGGGUAGUCC